rnacentral:tRNA from 2 species
ACAGUCGUGGCCGAGUGGUUAAGGUGAUGGACUAGAAAUCCAUUGCGGUCUCCCCGCACAGGUUCGAAUCCUGUCGACUGCG